UCCCCGUUUCUCCUCCCUGAGCGGGUGUCUUAACCCAGUUAAGACUUUUUUCGCCCCCGGUUUUUCCGGGGGCUUUUUUUAU
rnacentral:ncRNA from 1 species